AUUGAACGCUGGCGGCAGGCCUAACACAUGCAAGUCGAGCGGAUGAAGGGAGCUUGCUCCUGGAUUCAGCGGCGGACGGGUGAGUAAUGCCUAGGAAUCUGCCUGGUAGUGGGGGAUAACGUCCGGAAACGGGCGCUAAUACCGCAUACGUCCUGAGGGAGAAAGUGGGGGAUCUUCGGACCUCACGCUAUCAGAUGAGCCUAGGUCGGAUUAGCUAGUUGGUGGGGUAAAGGCCUACCAAGGCGACGAUCCGUAACUGGUCUGAGAGGAUGAUCAGGCACACUGGGACUGAGACACGGUCCAGACACCUACGGGAGGCAGCAGUGGGGAAUAUUGGACAAUGGGCGGAAGCCUGAUCCAGCCAUGGCGCGUGUGUGAAGAAGGUCUUCGGAUUGUAAAGCACUUUAAGUUGGGAGGAAGGGCAGUAAGUUAAUACCUUGCUGUUUUGACGUUACCAACAGGAUAAGCACCGGCUAACUUCGUG
rnacentral:rRNA from 1 species